UCUUGGUGGUUCAAUUGUAAAGAAUCUGCCUGCCAAUGCAGGAGAUUCAGGUUCGAACCCUGAAUCAGGAA
rnacentral:tRNA from 1 species